ensembl:lncRNA
UUUUUUUUUUUCUUUCAAGCUGGAAACCUACAAAAUAAGUCUUAGGUUUUCAUCAUAAUCUUUUGAGUUUUAAAUCUACUUCAUAAGUUGGCAAUUUUAAAUGGUUCCUGGUGAGUAGAGUCCUGGUGAGCUUCAAAACCACACACAGUUUCAAUGAAGCUGUGUGAACCUGCUUCAGAAUCUCUGCAAGUUUUCCAAGCUUUUAUGCUCUCGUAUGGUUUACAGACAAAAACCUACAGGGGUCCCAUUUAAAGCCUCCUAGCAGCUAAAAGAUAGAGAAAAAAUGGCUUUUAAAAAACCUGAAGUGCCCUCUUAUGAGUGCAUUAAAAGCAAUUUUAUUUGCUUUCACUUUCAAAAUGCUUCAAGCUGCCAAAGACGUGAUGCUAGAAAAUGACUCAUGAGUACUAGAGAAAAAUAGUCUUUGAACGUUGGUUCAUAGUAAGGGAUGAUAGAUAGGCAAGUGGAAUUUCUGUAUUCAGAAAGAAAUAUCUUGUGGCCUCAUAUUGCAGAAUUUUUUUUCUGUCUCAGUAAUCUGUUCUUCAGUGGUUCUUCACCUUUGUCUUACAGGUUUUCAGCAAUUGUGUGAAAAUCAGCUCAGAGUUUCAGUUUGUUCCUGUGGAUGCUAUCUAUCAAUGUUUGGAGACCAGGGCCUCCACAGAAAGGAACGACAAUGCCGAAACAGUGAACAAUUGUAAUUUAACCCACCUUUCCAGUAAAUCAUGUGUCAUCCUGUGGAUUGUCUGACAGUCUGUACGGUAGGUUUUAGGAAAUUUUAGUAUUGCAUUGUGUGUUUUACAUUUUCAUUGCAGUGUAUGGUACUGGAGUGGUUUCUUGAUUUAUUUUCUCUGUGGGAAAUACUGGUCACAAAGGCAAAGUAUUAAAAUGUCCUCCUCAUUUUGAUAUUGCUACAGCUUCUCACAGCUUUCUCUCUCUUCCAGUGUAAAUAAAGACAACAGUGUGGAGUAGACUUCCCAAAAUUCAAGAAUAUUUGGACCUUGUGUUCUGUUCCAAGGUUCUCUUGAACAAAUACACUUUCCUUUCUAAAUUGUAUUGCUGAAUGUCAGGGAACAAAAUUGUUAGGAAAGAUUAUUUAAUGAAAUCUAGAGAUUAUGUUACAAAACAAACUUUAAUGAACUAUUUAAGUUGAUUUUUAAUGGUUUAAACAGAUGUUACCUCUAAGAAGCUCUCACAAAGGUAUGACUUUUGAAGGCUUACCUUACGUAACUCAUGGUCUUGUAAAUGUGGCAUAUUUGCUGUGAAUAACCAUAGAGGAAAAGUUCUAACAGCAUUAACUUUUAAUGGUUUUAGUUUUAAAUUUUAAAACUAUGUCUCCACCAGCACCUUAGCUUUUUCUCUAGGGAGUCAAAAAGAAAGGAAAAUUUUAAUGCCCUUGGUUGUUGACAAUAGCUGAAAAAUGAAUAAAUAUUACAAGAAUUAAAUAACUAAAAGAAUUAAAUGAAAGUACAGAAGUGGUAGUAAAAGUAUAUGAGUUGUACUGUCCUAGUGACAAAACAGAAAGCAAGAUACAUGUGAACAGGAUGUAAGCAUAACCUGAGAUCAUGAGAUAAAGAUUCUUACCUGAUUUUAACUGUGAAAGCACAACCGUGAGCCUAAAACUUACAUCUGGAAAUAAUGCUGACUUACAGACUAGGAACCCAUUGUGUAGUUGAGUGCUAAUUGAAGGGGUUUGGCAUUUUUAGAAAUCAAGUAAAUUAAAUGAUGGAAUGAAAUUUUGAAAGCACUUGCAUACCUGGAGCAACAGUUGGUGCUUAAUCUCACCAUUUGCAUGUAUAAAUCACUUAAUGCAGGCAAAUUUUUGAUCCCCCAAAACUCAUUUGCUGCUCCUUCACAACUGCAUAACUUUUUCUGGGGUCAGUCAAUCCAUGUUAGGCAGCUGGUGUAUGUUAGGAAGUUAUUUCAAAGCCUCUUGCAUAUGCUAACUAUUUCUUGCAUAGGCUCUAUAGUUUCUGUGUACCCCUCUCCACUGUGAUCACCCCUGGAGUCCUCAGAGGAAUUACUCCAAAGCUCCAGGCAUCCCUGUGUGGCCUGUAUGGAACUAGUCUGUUAGGAUUGUCAUUACUGCUGCCAACAUGAAAAGAUGUUUGAAUUUAAUAAAAAAUCCCCUCCAAACUCCAAAUAAACAGGUCCCUUCCCCAGAAGAGCUGAGGCUUCCAGAACUGCUAUAGCACUACAGGAUUACUCAUAAGAAGAAUAAUCACUGGUAUCACCAGACAUGAAAGCAGCUAUGCUGUAGUAUGAUGUUACCCCCUUAGGAAGGGUCUAGGUGAGGUUCUCCUGCACUGCUUCAGCAAGGAGGUUAUUGUGGGGGUUUUUUAUGGCAUGGAGUUCCUUAUCUACUCUUUUGUAGAAAGAUGAAAUUUAUUUUGUGUCAUUGCAAAAGCAUAUAUGAGUAUAGAAUCAAAGAGAAAUUUGUAUACUAACACAGAACUUGCAUUUGAAUAUGAAAAAUGUAACAGCUUUUUAUUUGGUGGGGUAUAGAAUGAUACAGAAAAAUGUUGAUUCAUUGAAGGUAAGGAAGUUGACAGGUCAUUAAAAAAAGAUUUUGGGAAGAGACUUCGUAUACUUUAACACUUGGCUUUGCAAAAGGAGUGUUGUUGGUAGAUUAAGUAGAUGUUAGCUUUAGCUACACAGAUAAGGACUAAUUUUUCUUUAUUCCAGCAAUGUAUAGAAAAUAAGCUGUGUUUUAGAAGACAAAACUGUAGUUUAAUGAAGUCUUGGGCAGAAGUUACUGCCUGGAUCUUGCUAUGUUCUCAGAAGAGGUAACUGCCCUUCAGCUGCUUGUCACCAUCUUUCAGCUGGUGAUUAUCAUCAUCUCAGAUCCGUUCAUUGUGCAUGUUGUCAUUUUCUAACUUGUCUGUCAAAAUGAGUUAGGCUGAAAAGACUAUUUUUUUAAAGUUAACUUGGUUCUCUUUGAAGGCAACAGAUUGUGGAACAUUUGUAAUAAGAGCCCCUCCAGCAGAUAAUCUCAAGCAGAAGGGUGAUGACAGGCGGCUGGAGGUUGUAACCUCUUCUGAGCUGGAGGAGUUUCUUGAGAUAAAUUAGUUAUUCCAAAACUUGGGUGGAAGCAAGCUUAUCUGCUGCAGGGGUGGGGGUCUUGUAGAUCCCCCUCACCCUGCAAAAGCUGCUUCUGACACUUCCACAGCCGGGAGCCACCCAUGCUGCUGAUCUGCUCCCUUCUACAGGCAUGUGACUUAGAGCAGGGUGUCAGUAUUUAGAGCCUGUUUGAGUCAAAAAGACAUGCUGGAGUGGAAAGCAGGCCAGCUUGGAACAGUGAUGCUGACUAUGAGGAUGCCUUUGUCAGCUUGACUAAGGAUCAGCCCACCUACAGGGGUAGUGUCAUUCUUUGAUGAAAUUGGGUUGAAAUCCAGAUGCUCUCAUCCUAUAACUGCAACAAAAUGGGAAACAAAUGCUGCAGGAGCAACAGCAGAGACUGUGGGGGUCUGUCAAUGCCCUGGAGCACACUUCAGUUCUUGAAAACCUGCUUUCUCAGGAAUUCCAUUCAUAUAUGCUGAAAUGCUAACAUGAAGGUUGUCCUGAGAUGCUUUUGAGUUAAUGUGGUAAUGUGGGAGUUGCUAAAGCAUUUGUUCAUUGAGAUGCAUGAGUUGAGGACUUAUUAGUGUGGGAGGCCAAACUUCCUCUCUGCAGAGGAAGAACUCCACAGUGCUCAGUCUAGUUAUUAUAUCUCAGGAUAUGAAACUUUAUAAAUACUAUCUAAAGGAGGCACUUCAUGGUUCCUCUUACCAAGAAUUUGCCUUACUUGUUUAUAUGGGGAUAGGAUGAGGUCCAUUUUCCAUGUUAAUAUGAUAGACCUAAUCACUAGCAAGUCAGACUGAUACAUGGUCUCUCAAAUGGAGCUUCCUGUUGAAGAUGAAGAUGUAUUUGUCCUCAGUCCCAAAAUCCAAGAGGUCAUGGUCUUAAGCAGAUAAAACAGCCAUACAUGUGAAGUCAGACACAAACUCUGAAACAAAAAAGGCAAACAGGAUAUUUGAAGUGAAAUACAAGUAGCAGUGAUGUAAGUGCAAGGGUGGGCUACAAUCCUAGGGCCAUGAGAGGAUUAGCUGGAGGAAAGGUGAAGUCUGUUGACCUGUUCUGGCAUGGUGCCAAUGUGCACCACUAUAUCCAGCUGGGAGAAGUAGAAGGACCUGUAGUGGAGAUAGUUUGACUUGAUCUUGCCUUCUGUAGUGCUUAGUGUACAGGUCUAAUCUUGUAACUCCACAUUCCUGAAUUUCUGGCUUUAAUCACCAAGAACACCGUAUUCUUAUGAAGACUUUUGGUCUUCCUAGAGGGACUUAGGGAACAUGCUGGCUGUUUAAUACAGCAUUCUUGCAUACAGAUCACAGAAUCACUAGGUUGGAAAAGAUCUUCAUAAUCAUCGAGUCCAACCCAUGCCCUAAACACCUCAACUAAACCAUGGCACCAACUGCCACAUCCAGUCUUUUUUUAGACACAUCCAUGGAUGGUGACUCCACCACCUCCUCGGAUCGGUACUGCUAUUUCAGCAUCAAGCUUCUGUAAUUGUCAGUCUCAAUAAAUUGAAACUCUCAAAGCACUGAAGGGUAACACCAUGUCUAUUGUAGCUGACUCUCACAAUGUUUGUUUGAGAAACUACUCCAGUACUGUGUCAGUUCAAGAGUGAGUGUUAAGUUGCUGAGACAACUUACUGAGAUGCAUCUGAAAGAGAGGAUUUUUCUUUCAUACAGCUAUUGUGUCUGAUCACCUUUUAUUCACUUUGCUUAGAACUCUGGAAGUAAGAGUGAUGUGAAAAAAAUCUGUAGCUCAAUAUUUGUAUUGAAUGGUACUCUAUUACAACAGAGAAAUUCAUUUAUUUUAUGAUCAUACUGUUUUCUUCUUCUUAAAAAAACCCCGAACUAUAAAAAUAUUUCCUUUCUGAAAUUGUCCUUGAGGUGACUCACAAAUCUAAACAUUUUUUAACCAGAAACCUGCAAUUAUUCAAAAAGCUACAUGAAGUAUGUCUUUGCAAAACUUAAAGAGGACCAUGCAGCAGGAAAUAUCUACACCAACCAUUAAUGUAAAUGGGUGUUCCUGAAGGUGCAAUGGAAUGUUCCUGACUAAAAGAUAUCUUUAAUCCCUUUCUGAAAUGGAAGUUUGCUAUGCAGCUGAGGGCCAACUGAUCGUAAAAGGCUUAUUAUGAGGCUGAGACAUUGUUGGGUCUGGAUACUCUUUGAAUGGCAUCUCCAUGUCAGCCUAGCCCCAUGCUGAUUUUGCUUUCUUUCUCACUCUUAGGGAACAGCUAAAUGACAUAUAUUCUUCUUCCUGCUGAUGAGGUAAAUUGUAAACAUCCCUCUAGACUCUCAAAUUCACCUGCUAGAGUGAUCUGUCUCAGCUGUGGCAAUGCAGUUUCUUUUCAUGCAACUAAUGGGACAAUUAUAUCAGAAUGAUGAGAUCAUGCCUUUUUCUGAAAAGAAUAGGGAUCUUUCAUGAACAAAGAGAGCUUUAUUUACAUCUUUACAAAUAAAGCACCAUUUUAUUCAGUGAAAGUGGGUGACUUUUACAAUUUGGGUAGGCACAGCAUGGCAUGAAGGUGAACUCACUCUGUAGAGUGGUACAUAGAGCUUUGGUGUGGCUUUCUCAAAACAAAAUAAGCAGUAUUUUGGGCUUUUUUCCCUGCUUACACUGACCAGUAGACUAGUGUGCAGAGAGUUCUGGUAUUGCCUAGGUAAACCUAAGACUGUUGGAAGUUAUUUCAUUUGUUUGCUAAAUAAAUGUAGAGAAUCUAUCUUGGUCUUUUCAAGACUUUCCAUGUAGGUAGAUUUUGUGUGUGUAAAUCAAAGAGUAGCAGUGGACAGUUCUGUACUCUUGGGGAGCUACUGUGACUCCUUAUUUAAUCCCAAGUUAUGAGCCAUAUCUGAA